rnacentral:rRNA from 1 species
UACAGAGGUGGCAAGCGUUGUUCGGAAUUACUGGGCGUAAAGCGUGCGUAGGCGGUUUGUUAAGACAGGUGUGAAAUCCCCGGGCUUAACCUGGGAACUGCGCUUGUUACUGGCAGACUUGAGUGUGGCAGAGGGGGGUGGAAUUCCAGGUGUAGCAGUGAAAUGCGUAGAUAUCUGGAGGAACACCGAUGGCGAAGGCAGCCCCCUGGGCUAACACUGACGCUGAUGCACGAAAGCGUGGGGAGCAAACAGG